CUGCUUAUAGGCGCAUGCGUUUAUAUGCCGGCGUGGAAUAGUGUGAUAAAUACCUACCUGUGUUGAAAUAACUAUAUAGGAUCGACAUUUAAUAUUACAAUACUUUCCUAUUAAAAAUAACCUUUUUAUUAUUAAAUCAUAAGACAUAUAUAGCUAAUAAUGAAUAAUUAAAGUUCAAAUGAUCGAUCUUUAAGCGAAUUAAUGCAAAAAAUGAUAAUUUUUCCCAACAAAAAACACGACACAAUUUUAUAAACAGGUGAGAACAGGUAUUUUACUUUAAAUGUUUAUGUUAAGUCUUAUCAGUAUAGUUGUUCCUUAGCUUAUUGUCUUCUGCUGUCAGGUCACUUCCCAAAUAGUUUAACGACUACAGCUCCUCCUACGAUGAUUAGUAUUAUGAUUACUCCCGCAAUUAUUACUUGACGUAUUAUUGGACGUACUCUGAGUAUGAACUCUGGAGUAAUUGUGACACUUGUUUCGCUACGACGGAACCAACCUCCUUCACUAUGAUAAUCCAUACCACUACUGAAUAUUUUCCACCGUUUAUUCCCAAGACGAAAACGACCACGAUAAGCGCUACUCUUGACCAAUUGAUAUCCACUUUUUG